GACGAACGCUGGCGGCGUGCCUAAUACAUGCAAGUCGAGCGAAGCGGCGGAAGGGUGAGUAACGCGUGGGUAACCUGCCCUUAAGUCUGGGAUAACAUUUGGAAACAGAUGCUAAUAACGGAUACUAAAGGAUGGACCUGCGAUGCAUUAGCUAUUUGGUAAGGUAACGGCUUACCAAGGCGAUGAUGCAUAGACGAGUUGAGAGACAGAUAGGCCACAUGGUGACUGCGAAAAGGCCCAAACUCCUACGUGAGGCAGCAGUAGGGAAUCUGCCACAAUGGACGAAAGUCUGAUGGAGCAACGCCGCGUGAGUGAAGAAGGUUUUCGGAUCGUAAAGCUCUGUUGUUGGUGAAGCGUUAAUCAACCAGAAAGUCACGGCUAACUACGUGCCAGCAGCCGCGGUAAUUC
rnacentral:rRNA from 1 species